GUGUAUAAGGAAACAAGGUGUUGUGUUACAAUAAUGGGUUUACUUAAUAGUUUAAUUGUUGUUAUAGUUGCACUCGUGUUUUUGGUGCAGAAUACACACGGCCAUUGGUGGGGCGGUCCUGGAUGGUACAGACCACGAUUUGGGUUUGGGCCUAGAUUUGGGCCUGGCUUCGGACCUUACUACGGACCCGUGUUCCCGCCACCGCCGCCACCACCGCCGUUCUUCUAUGGCUGAAAAUGAACUGGAUGAAGUAUAAUGACGAUUUUCUAAUUGUUUAUGUAAUUAAAGGACUGUUGAAAUUAA